GCCGAGGUGGCUUAGUGGUAGAGCGUGUUCUAUCCAUCUGCUGCAGGCCCUAGGCCUAACGGCUUAGGGGCUGCAGCAGUGUGAGAGCAAGAUCCUAGGUUCGAAUCCUGGCCUUGGUA